CAUAUACAAGUUUGGGAGCCUCCAGCCCUGACUAUCCCAACAUAUACAACAAAAUGUAUAUGUUGUCUUUGGAAAUAUCUUCUGUGAAGGCCAAGCAUUUAAUAUUACAGGAAACCUUGAAGUGGAUAUGGAAGCUUGGCAGCCAGCUUGGAUCUUCCUAAGAGCCUCUUUCCUUCAUACCAUCUUCAGAUGUUAUUCCGUGACAUCUUCUCUACUUAAGCAGCUAACCCAUGAGGCAUCCAAAACAGAGAGAAAAAACAGAGUGAACAUUUUGCCUUAUGGAAUUGUCAAAAGUUGCGGUCGAAACACAGGCAAGAUUUGGAAGAAUCUGUAAUGAGCCAGGGCCAGUUUUCCCAGUUAUAGAGCCUAGGCUGGAGGAGGUACAUGGGCUGGGGAAGGAGAGGGAAUUAGAGAUUGGCUGUUCCUGGAAACUCUCUGCCUGUACUCCAUGGCCUGAGUCCCAGGACCUGGAAGCGGCUGAAAAUCUGAGAUAUAGGAGACUGGUGCUGCCUUUCUGGGGAGGGCUUGGGAAAACAGCAAGUUCCCUGAAUUUUUCCAUGGCACAGGAGCAGAUGAAAUGUCAUGAUUGGUGUCCAGGCUAGUGGACUGAGUUAACUCCCGAGAGUCCCUGUACUCUCCAGCAUGGCACGAGGAGAAGCAAACCAUUUUCCUAUGCAGCCAUAGGAAAACGGUACAAACACGACACUGAAAUUCAGCUGACCGCAAGAGCUUGAUGGUCAGUGUGAGCCAGAUGGAGCAGGAACAUGUAUGGAUGGAAAACCCAGAUUCAGAGUUCCUCUCCCUCUCCCGCGGGUGCUCCAGCACAUUGCAAGGUUUCCCAGAAACUUAGAGGCAACCUUGGCACAAGGACAUGAUUUGUUGGACCCAAAUUAGUUUCCACAACGCAACUGUGUUAACAUUUGCCAACCUCUGGGGCAACAUUGGUUGUAAAUUCUGGUGAGUGGUGUUUUGAUAAGUAGAUAUCAGCUAUUUUCUGUCUUACUUGAAAAGUCUUCUCUGUAUUAAAUAACAAAGGUCACUUAGAUAAAUAACUUAUCAUUACCAGAGGGUAGGGAACUGCUUCUCCUAUACAUAACUUCUAUUAUCUUUCAAUCCAGAAAAAAAGACGUGGCAAGAGGACAAGUUUUUGAAUGUUAUGAAUCGUGAUUUCUGUGUCUAAAAUCUGCUCUUUUGUUAACACUAAGGGCAACUUCCUUCAAAGUGGUUCAUCUUGGUCUAUUACGUAAAACCAAAGUUUCCUAUUAUUUUUGAAGGUAUUUGGCCCUGCUGGAAGACAGCUAUGUAUAAGUGUUCUCAUUCACUGUGAUGUGGUAACCAAAACAAGCAGAGAUUAAUAACCAGGACUCAAUAAUGUAAAACACUAAAAAUUAUAUUUUUGCAAAUUUUUGUAAACGCGGGAUCAUAUCUCUCUCAGUGACAGUAUUGGUGUGAUCCAUUACUGUACAUUUAGUGGAUAAACAGAAUGUAACUAAGAAGCGUUAUCUUUGUUAUCAGGGGAACGUGGAGUUGGAUGUGUAUGAUGGGGACGGGCAGUUAAUUCAUAGGUUGAACACUCAACGAGGGAAUAUCUCUUUAUCACUAUCUCCAAACACUCCCCACUCUUCCUCAAUUUUCUUAGUAACUCACUGUACCCUAAUCCAGGCAAUAACACUCACAGUAUCCCAGGGAUUCCCCUUCUAGCCUCAAAUUCCUCUUAUUCUCAUUUAUUUUGUAUUUACCUUCUAGACCAUAGUUUCUCAGAUAGUAAAGGUUCUACUGACUUUCCGCAUCUCUCUGCAACCUCCUUUCCUGCUUAGCUUCUCUUCCAUGGUCAAGCCAAUACACACAGAAUUUUGCCUUCCAUUCUUCGCUCAGGUGUUUCUUCCACUUGGAAUCUGUUCCUCAGUCAUUUUCACUAAUCCAUGUCCCUCCCAGUACACAGAAUUUUUCACAGAAAACAUAGUUAAUCCUUUAAAAAUAUAUUUAGAUUGAAUUGCAUGCCCCUCUUAAGGUUUUUUCUUUCCAAAUGCCUUUUUUAAAACCCCAAUUUAAGAAUUUCUUUAGCCAAUACUACAACAAUGCAGUCCUUGUUCUCCACUUCUUUCCUUUUAUCUACUCAAUGUUAUUAAUGUUUUUAGUGUAAACAUCAGUAACUCAAGCGAGCCUUUUCUGAUCCCCAUGAUUAGGAUGAGUUUUUGUGUUGCCUACUCCAAAAGGUCUGUCCUUUUUAAUGCUCACCACACUUGAGGUUUCUGUUCACACUUCAAAGGCUGUGAGGCCCGAUACCAUGAUUUCAUUGCAUAAAUAAACUAUGCCAUUCGGGGCUGAUUAA
rnacentral:lncRNA from 1 species